CCCUUAGAUGUUCUGGGCCGCACACGCGCUACACUGAAGGAGGCAGCGUGUACUCCUGGAUCGAAAGAUUUGGGUAACCCGCGAAUCUCCUUCGUGCUAGGGAUUGAGGUUUGCAAUUAUCCUUCAUGAACGAGGAAUUCCCAGUAAGUGCAAGUCAUAAGCUUGCGCUGACUACGUCCCUGCCCUUUGUACACACCGCCCGUCGCUACUACCGAUUGAAUGAUUUAGUGAGGACUUCGGACUGGGACCGAUGCGGCUUUCGGGCUGCGUCGGUGUUCUGGAAAGAUGUCCAAACUGUAUCAUUUAGAGGAAGUAAAANUCGUANCA
rnacentral:rRNA from 1 species